UACGUAGGGGGCUAGCGUUGUCCGGAUUUAUUGGGCGUAAAGAGCUCGUAGGUGGCUCGGUUAGUCGGAUGUGAAAUCUCCAGGCUCAACCUGGAGGGGUCAUUCGAUACUGCCGUGACUAGAGUUCGGUAGAGGAGCGUGGAAUUCCUGGUGGAGCGGUGAAAUGCGCAGAGAUCAGGAGGAACACCCGUAGCGAAGGCGGCACUCUGGGCCGAUACUGACACUGAGGAGCGAAAGCGUGGGGAGCGAACAGG
rnacentral:rRNA from 1 species